UACGUAGGGAGCAAGCGUUGUUCGGAAUUACUGGGCGUAAAGGGCGCGUAGGCGGUUGGAUAAGUCAGCUGUGAAAACCACGAGCUCAACUUGUGGCCUGCAGUUGAAACUGUCUGGCUAGAGUGUGGGAGAGGGAAGUGGAAUUCCUGGUGUAGAGGUGAAAUUCGUAGAUAUCAGGAGGAACACCGGUGGCGAAGGCGGCUUUCUGGACGACAACUGACGCUGAGACGCGAAAGCGUGGGGAGCAAACAGG
rnacentral:rRNA from 1 species